rnacentral:lncRNA from 1 species
GAGGGAAUGUGCACAGGUUGCCAGGAAUGGGAUAGACUAGGAAGCAAAUGGACAGAAGAUGAAGAUGGCUGCAUCCAGUGCCCCAGUUUUACUCUCCUUUGGGCAAUUGGUGUGCAACUGAUUCCUGUUGUUCCUGCUUCAGUCCUGAGUCUUCCAUGAUCCUCCUUGCUGUGGUGGGUUAGCAGCAGAAGUCUGAAUCAGAAAGCGGGAAGGAUCUGCAUCAUAUCCCCCUGUACCCAGGAGCAUUCUCACUGCCAUCAGUGAGGAAGGACCAAAUCAGGAAGACAGCGCAGGGAAUGGAGCCCUGAAUGUCUCACCAUGAUUGCCUGCAGGAGUCUCUCCCAGGCUACGGUGGUGGUGUCCGUGGGUGCCACAUGGCUCGGAGAGCAAGGUUGCUGCCACAGAGUAUGCUCCCAGACCUUACUGCCCACGAUGGAGGAACACCUUUUUUUACUUUGGCCAUGUGGAUUCCACUGCUACUCUGGUUUCCUGGAGGUAACUCAGACAGGCUCUGUCAGGGCAGGUGCAAUCUGAUGGAACAGCAUAUCUGGCAAUAUGCUCACAGUCUUAGCAAAAUAAGGAAUUUUAUCUUGUCUUUCCAUAAAAAAUGGAGACUUUCUGACUUCAGACCUUUCAGGAACUGAGAGACCAACACCACCCAGAUUCCAUUGUAUUUAUGAUUACUAAAAUUUCAUUUUUUAAAUUUGUGUUUUUGUACAACAUAACAAAAAAUUUAAAAUAGCAAUGUGAACAAGCUUAACAUGGAUUUAAGGUGAGAAAAUGGGGCAAAUUGGAAUCAAGAAAAUGUUUUAGAAUAUUUCUUCUGGAUAAUACGGUGGCCAAGGACUGAAAAUAUAAUCUCAUGUUUCUCAGAUUUCCUUGGAGGGCAGAAGGGGUUAAGCCAGAGAUGCAAUCAAUAUGAAUUAGAUUAUUUUAAAGUUUUCACCUAAAAUUAUUUUUGGUAGAGACUGAGAAUCUGUGAAAUGUAGUAAGAACUAGAGCCUUCUGGGAAAUUCUUCCACCACGGAACUGGUGUGCUUUGAUGUUGUUCACAUUUUUGUUUUGUUUACAGUGUUAGCUAGAUAUGUACAUUCAUGCUUACACGGGAAAAUCCAAUUGUUUUCUCCUUCAGAAUUUUCUGUGGUUGUUUCUCAGGUACUUCUGAAUAUCCUGUUCCCUAAUAGGGGCAGUCUUCUCCAACUCAAGAUUAAAAUUUGCCUAAAUUUAAAGAUCCCAAAUCUUACAUAAAUAGCCUUAGGUUCAAAUCUUUAAAAGCUAAUGGCCAUUGCGAAUUAAGUAAGUUCUACUUCUGUUUUAGUUUUGUGCUUGCCCUUGGUCUGACAUCAAUGACCAGACUCUUGAGCAGGGAGGAAGUUAGAGGAGGCUCAUGAGUGCCUAACCUCUAUUGAAGGCUUAGUUUACAUAGAAUUCUAGUCGUAAUUAUAGUGAGUGGUUCUCAUAUCAGCUUGACAUCUAGAGCUAGGGCUGUCUGUGUCUAGGACCUUCUCUACUGUCAGGUGUGUAGAGACCACCAAAGACAUUCACAGUGACUCUCCCUAGUCACCUGCAGAGCACAGUCCUAGACAGGACAGGGGACCCUGGCGUGGGGGGGGGGUUGCUCCAGGAAAAUACCAUUCUGUCAUAUCUAGAAUUUGAUUUUGUCAAAUAGGUCCUUAUACAUUUCCUUCCUAGGACUGCAAUUACAACUAAAAACUGAUAAUGGACCUGCUUAUACCAGCAAACACAUUAAAAGAUUUUACAAUCACGUUACUGAAAUUCCUUACAAUCGACAGGUCAAACUAUUAUAAAACAACACCAUCAAAUACCGAUACACAAAUUUAAAUUCCCAUGUACUAUGCUACAUUUUAGCUAUACUAACUUUAAUUUUUUUCACUUUGAAAGAGAAUGCCUUUUCUGCUUCCCACAAGCAUUUUGCCCUAAAGGAGACACAACCUAAAGUAUAUGUUUAAAAAAUAUAAAAUCUAAUCAAUAGAAAGGCCCGAUGGUCUAACGUCGAGGCAAGGUUAUGCUUAUAUCUUACAGAAAAGCAAUGAAGAUGACUCCUGCCCUGACACAUCCAACAAGGACAGCAUCCCAGAGACCAGCAGACAAACCAAGUGUCUAAAGAUAGACAACAGAUCCAUCAAAAGGAGAUGUCCCAAGAGGAAGAGUGAGUCGAUAACUUGGAGAGACAUCAAGACUUCAACCUGUCAAGCCAAGACUUUGGGGAAACAACAAGGGCAUAAUUUUACUGACCCCCCAAAUGAUGCUGUUAUGUUAACUGACUAUAUUACAUGUUAACUCUCAGCUUGUCAGUGUAGAACCCAUAUGCCUUUUGCCAGGGGAGAUAAAAGGCACACUUGUAAUAGGAGAGUACGAUGCUGUCCUUACCAUGCUAAAAACUGUUUUUAUCCUUUGGGACCAGUUGUCUAGACAAAAGAUAGUAUACAAAUAUCUAGUCGCAUGAAUGGGGGCAUAUUUUGAUUGAACUAUUCUAACUGAUCAAUCCGAAUGUAAUAAUACAGAUUUUAGCAUAAUUAGGUACUCUUUAGAAGGCUCUAAAAGUGGAAAUUAUAAUUGUAUGGAGACAAAAAAAAAAGAAUUUCUGAUGUAUUGGUUACUAAAGUUGAACCAGCAUUAUCUGCUAGUUGUGUUGAAUCCGGCUGCCUUCUUGCC